UGAGCACAUUUAGCUCAGUUGGGAGAGCGCGCUAGACUGAAGAUCUAGAGGUCGCUAGUUCGAUCCUGGCAAUUCCAU
rnacentral:tRNA from 1 species